rnacentral:rRNA from 1 species
GACAGAGGGUGCAAACGUUGUUCGGAAUUACUGGGCGUAAAGCGCGUGUAGGCGGCCCUGCAAGUCGGAUGUGAAAUCCCACGGCUCAACCGUGGAAGUGCAUUCGAAACUGCAGGGCUAGAGUCCUGGAGAGGAAGGUGGAAUGCUUGGUGUAGAGGUGAAAUUCGUAGAUAUCAAGCGGAACACCGGUGGCGAAGGCGGCCUUCUGGACAGUGACUGACGCUGAGACGCGAAAGCGUGGGGAGCAAACAGGGAUUAAGAAACCCC